AUUGAACGCUGGCGGCAUGCUUUACACAUGCAAGUCGAACGGUAACAGGCCUUCGGGUGCUGACGAGUGGCGAACGGGUGAGUAAUGCAUCGGAACGUACCCAGAGGUGGGGGAUAACGCAGCGAAAGCUGUGCUAAUACCGCAUGUGAUCUGAGGAUGAAAGCGGGGGACCGAGCAGCAAUGUUUGGCCUCGCGCCUUUGGAGCGGCCGAUGUCGGAUUAGCUAGUUGGUGGGGUAAAGGCCUACCAAGGCGACGAUCCGUAGCUGGUCUGAGAGGACGACCAGCCACACUGGGACUGAGACACGGCCCAGACUCCUACGGGAGGCAGCAGUGGGAAAUUUUGGACAAUGGGCGCAAGCCUGAUCCAGCAAUGCCGCGUGCGGGAAGAAGGCCUUCGGGUUGUAAACCGCUUUUGGCAGGAACGAAACGGUGUCCGCUAAUACCGGGCGCUAAUGACGGUACCUGCAGAAUAAGCACCGGCUAACUACGUG
rnacentral:rRNA from 1 species